CAGACAUAUUACUUGUAAUUCAGGCACGAACCAGCUUGCUCACUGGAUGGAAUGUUCUACAUUAGUCUUUAGAGUAUGUUGGCUUUGCUAUAUAAUCCUAAUGACAAUGAUGAUAUUCAUCAUCAUAAUUUUGAUUGGACAAACAAUACAUUAUUUUACAUAUAUGGCAGUAUUAAUCUAAAACAUAUGAUGCUUGUUGAUUUUCAGUAUAAAUUGUCUGAAAUACUCUAUCCUAUGUGUCUUUAAAAUGAUUGGUAUUUUCUUCAAGCCCAAUAACCUUUCAAAGUAUCUUGGAGUGAAGUUGAUUUUAAUUUAGUCCAUAAAGCUUGUCAAUGUUAGGU